CCCAACUACGUGCCAGCAGCCGCGGUAAUACGUAGGGUGCGAGCGUUGUCCGGAAUUAUUGGGCGUAAAGGGCUCGUAGGCGGUUUGUCGCGUCGGGAGUGAAAACGCCGUGCUUAACACGGCGCUUGCUUUCGAUACGGGCAGACUAGAGGUAUUCAGGGGAGAACGGAAUUCCUGGUGUAGCGGUGAAAUGCGCAGAUAUCAGGAGGAACACCGGUGGCGAAGGCGGUUCUCUGGGAAUGACCUGACGCUGAGGAGCGAAAGUGUGGGGAGCGAACAGGAUUAGAUACCCUGGUAGUCCACACCGUAAACGUUGGGCGCUAGGUGUGGGGUCCAUUCCACGGAUUCCGUGCCGCAGCUAACGCAUUAAGCGCCCCGCCUGGGGAGUACGGCCGCAAGGCUAAAACUCAAAGGAAUUGACGGGGGCCCGCACAAGCGGCGGAGCAUGCGGAUUAAUUCGAUGCAACGCGAAGAACCUUACCUGGGUUUGACAUACACCCUGCCGCUCCAGAGAUGGGGCUUCUUUUGGGGGUGUACAGGUGGUGCAUGGCUGUCGUCAGCUCGUGUCGUGAGAUGUUGGGUUAAGUCCCGCAACGAGCGCAACCCUCGUUCUAUGUUGCCAGCACGUAAUGGUGGGGACUCAUAGGAGACUGCCGGGGUCAACUCGGAGGAAGGUGGGGAUGACGUCAAGUCAUCAUGCCCCUUAUGUCCAGGGCUUCACGCAUGCUACAAUGGCCGGUACAAAGGGCUGCGAUCCCGUAAGGGGGAGCGAAUCCCAAAAAGCCGGUCUCAGUUCGGAUUGGGGUCUGCAACUCGACCCCAUGAAGUCGGAGUCGCUAGUAAUCGCAGAUCAGCAACGCUGCGGUGAAUACGUUCCCGGGCCUUGUACACACCGCCCGUCACGUCACGAAAGUCGGCAACACCCGAAGCCGG
rnacentral:rRNA from 1 species